rnacentral:rRNA from 1 species
GACGAACGCUGGCGGCGUGCUUAAUACAUGCAAGUCGAGCGGACAGGCGCGGCUCUUGCGGGGCGCUCGAGUGGCGAACGGGUGAGUAACACGUGAGUAAAAUGCCCCUGAAUGAGGGAUAAAUUCAGGGAAAUGGGGAUAAUAUCGGAUAGGAGCUAUUGAUGCACGGUGGGGGUUGGAGAGAUACGGCGGUUGGGGAUGGACUCGAGGCUUAUGAGCCUGAUGGUGGGGUAGUGGAUGACAAGGGCUUUGAAGGGUAGCCGGCCUGGGAGGGUGACCAGGCACAAGGGGACUGAGAUACGGCGCAGACGCCUACGGGCCGCAGCAGUCGAGAAUAUUGCGCAACGGCCGGAAGCCAGUUGCAACAGCCCCGCGUGCGUAAUAACGUCCUUCGGGGUGUAAACCACUGUCUACGGUGAUGAAGCGUUAGUGACGGUAAUUAGUAAGAAAGCACCGGCUAACUACGUG